rnacentral:tRNA from 1 species
GCCCUCGUAGCUCAAUGGUAGAGCGCGUCACUAGUACCGUAACAAGUCAAUGGCGAGAUGCCGGUGCGAUUCCGUCUAGUGGCA